rnacentral:rRNA from 1 species
UACGGGAGGCAGCAGGGGGAAUAUUGCACAAUGGGCGCAAGCCUGAUGCAGCCAUGCCGCGUGUAUGAAAAAGGCCUUCGGGUUGUAAAGUACUUUCAGUCGUGAGGAAGGUGUUAAGGUUAAUAACCUUAGCAAUUGACGUUAGCGACAGAAGAAGCACCGGCUAACUCCGUGCCAGCAGCCGCGGUAAUACGGAGGGUGCGAGCGUUAAUCGGAAUUACUGGGCGUAAAGGGCACGCAGGCGGUUAAUUAAGUUGGAUGUGAAAUCCCCGGGCUUAACCUGGGAAUGGCAUUCAAGACUGGUUAGCUAGAGUCUUGUAGAGGGGGUAGAAUUCCAUGUGUAGCGGUGAAAUGCGUAGAGAUGUGGAGGAAUACCGGUGGCGAAGGCGGCCCCUGGACAAAGACUGACGCUCAUGUGCGAAAGCUGGGGAGCAAACAGGGAUUAGAUACC